CCUACGGGAGGCUGCAGUGGGGAAUAUUGGACAAUGGGGGGAACCCUGAUCCAGCCAUGCCGCGUGUGUGAAGAAGGCCCUCGGGUUGUAAAGCACUUUCAGUGAGGAAGAACGCCUGGUGGUUAAUACCCAUCAGGAAAGACAUCACUCACAGAAGAAGCACCGGCUAACUCCGUGCCAGCAGCCGCGGUAAUACGGAGGGUGCGAGCGUUAAUCGGAAUUACUGGGCGUAAAGCGCGCGUAGGUGGCUUGAUAGGCCGGUUGUGAAAGCCCCGGGCUCAACCUGGGAACGGCAUCCGGAACUGUCAAGCUAGAGUGCAGGAGAGGAAGGUAGAAUUCCCGGUGUAGCGGUGAAAUGCGUAGAGAUCGGGAGGAAUACCAGUGGCGAAGGCGGCCUUCUGGACUGACACUGACACUGAGGUGCGAAAGCGUGGGUAGCAAACAGGAUUAGAUACCCGAGUAGUC
rnacentral:rRNA from 1 species